AUGGACGCUGACGCCCAGGCGCCGGAGGCACCGUCGUCGCCGCCGCCGCCCCGGUCCGCCCGGUCGAGGCCGUCGAGCUGGAGCAGCAGCGGCAGCUCCGAGUACACGAGCCUCCGGGACGUGCUCUCGGAGCUGGGCAACGGCGGCGGCGGCGGCAGCUCCUCCGACCUCCACGACUUCGACACCUCCAACAUCCCCAUCCGCAACCAGCUGCUCAAGCACGCCGCGUCCGCCUACCUCCAGUCCGCCAUCGUCGUCACGCCGCGCGAAAGGGGCUGCCUGAGCAGGGCCUGGCGCCGCCGCUGCCGCAUCCUGCUCCGGCCGUGCCCCGAGUGCGAGUGCGACGUGGACGUCGACCCCGUCCGCCGCUGCGCCGCGGCGUUGGCCGGCUCGGUGCGCCGCGUCCUUGCCUCCCUCUGCGGCUGCGUCGCCUGCGUGUGGACGUAG
rnacentral:rRNA from 1 species